AUUGAACGCUGGCGGCAGGCCUAACACAUGCAAGUCGAACGAGUGGCGGACGGGUGAGUAAUGUCUGUGAAACUGCCUGAUGGAGGGGGAUAACUACUGGAAACGGAAGCUAUUACCGCAUAUCUUCGGUGGUGCCCAGAUGGGAUUAGCUAGUAGGUGGGGUAAAGGCUCACCAAGGCGACGAUCCCUAGCUGGUCUGAGAGGAUGACCAUCCACACUGGAGCUGCUGCACGGUCCAGACUCGUACGUGAGGAAGAGGUGGGGGAUAUUGCACAGUGGGUGCAAGCCGGGUGCAGCACUGCCGGUUGUAUGAAAAAGGCCUUGGGUUUGUAAGGUACUUUCAGCGGGGAGGCGGUACCCGCAGAAGAAGCACCGGCUAACUCCGUGCGAGCAGCCGCGGUAAUUC
rnacentral:rRNA from 1 species